rnacentral:rRNA from 1 species
UUGCCUACGGGAGGCAGCAGUGAGGAAUAUUGGUCAAUGGACGAGAGUCUGAACCAGCCAAGUAGCGUGAAGGAUGACUGCCCUAUGGGUUGUAAACUUCUUUUAUAAAGGAAUAAAACGAGGCACGUGUGCCUUUUUGCAUGUACUUUAUGAAUAAGGAUCGGCUAACUCCGUGCCAGCAGCCGCGGUAAUACGUAGGUGGCAAGCGUUGUCCGGAUUUACUGGGGGUAAAGGGCGUGUAGCCGGGUUGACAAGUCAGAUGUGAAAUCCUGCGGCUUAACCGCAGAACUGCAUUUGAAACUGUU